UGGGGAAUUUUGGACAAUGGGGGAAACCCUGAUCCAGCCAUCCCGCGUGUGCGAUGAAGGCCUUCGGGUUGUAAAGCACUUUUGGCAGGAAAGAAACGUCAUGGGUUAAUAUGCCGUGAAACUGACGGUACCUGCAGAAUAAGCACCGGCUAACUACGUGCCAGCAGCCGCGGUAAUACGUAGGGUGCAAGCGUUAAUCGGAAUUACUGGGCGUAAAGCGUGCGCAGGCGGUUCGGAAAGAAAGAUGUGAAAUCCCAGAGCUCAACUUUGGAACUGCAUUUUUAACUACCGGGCUAGAGUGUGUCAGAGGGAGGUGGAAUUCCGCGUGUAGCAGUGAAAUGCGUAGAUAUGCGGAGGAACACCGAUGGCGAAGGCAGCCUCCUGGGAUAACACUGACGCUCAUGCACGAAAGCGUGGGGAGCAAACAGG
rnacentral:rRNA from 1 species